rnacentral:rRNA from 1 species
GUCGAGCGGAUGAGAGGAGCUUGCUCCUUGAUUUAGCGGCGGACGGGUGAGUAAUGCCUAGGAAUCUGCCUGGUGGUGGGGGAUAACGUUCCGAAAGGAACGCUAAUACCGCAUACGUCCUACGGGAGAAAGCGGGGGAUCUUCGGACCUCGCGCCAUUAGAUGAGCCUAGGUCGGAUUAGCUAGUUGGUGAGGUAAAGGCUCACCAAGGCGACGAUCCGUAACUGGUCUGAGAGGAUGAUCAGUCACACUGGAACUGAGACACGGUCCAGACUCCUACGGGAGGCAGCAGUGGGGAAUAUUGGACAAUGGGCGAAAGCCUGAUCCAGCCAUGCCGCGUGUGUGAAGAAGGUCUUCGGAUUGUAAAGCACUUUAAGUUGGGAGGAAGGGUAUUCACCUAAUACGUGAGUAUUUUGACGUUACCGACAGAAUAAGCACCGGCUAACUUCGUGCCAGCAGCCGCGGUAAUACGAAGGGUGCAAGCGUUAAUCGGAAUUACUGGGCGUAAAGCGCGCGUAGGUGGUUCGUUAAGUUGGAUGUGAAAGCCCCGGGCUCAACCUGGGAACUGCAUCCAAAACUGGCGAGCUAGAGUACGGUAGAGGGUGGUGGAAUUUCCUGUGUAGCGGUGAAAAUGCGUAGAUAUAGGAAGGAACACCAGUGGCGAAGGCGACCACCUGGACUGAUACUGACACUGAGGUGCGAAAGCGUGGGG